GUGAGCUGGUGUGUUUGUGCCUUCCUCUGAUUGAGUGGGGAGUGUUUCACUGACCCACUGUCUUCUACCGUAAAAGAAGGACCCAGAUCUACGUUCGAUGCCGGACCGUUGUACCUAACUCGCUUCGAGACCCUCGCUCCGGUUCACACCAUUCAUCUACCCCGUUACCAUUCCUCCCUACCGCUCUCCCAGUUGUCAGAUAAGACUUUUUUUUCAUACUGUACCGUUGCUUUUUUUUUGCUAGACACAACGUAAUGCUGUGUAAGCAUCUGCUUUACGUCAGUAUUCCAGUAAUUUGCACUGUUGGCACAUCUGCUUUCACUUCGGUAUUCCAGUGUAUUUGUGCUGAGUGCUUCUGCUUUAUUUCAGUAUUCCAGUUAGGUGCCAGUUAGGUCCAGCCCAGCUCAUCCUUCAAGAAAAGAACCACCAGAGGUCCACAAAUACUUGUCUAUACCGUGGCAAACUGAGCCAUUACAUUACCCACUGUCCUACUAGAGAGAGAGCUGAACCUCUGUGGAGGCCCCCCCAACGACUGCAACUGCCUGUGACAGCCUUCGUUGGUUCUGCAGCAGAGGCAACUUCAUUGACAGUAACCUGGUGAGACAGCUUUAGAUCUCCACUGAACCACUGUCUUCCCCUAGGGAAGGGAAAGCCUUAAAUGGACUAAAUCUCGUCCAAGUCAGCAGCAGACUGUUUCUGCGACUCUUGUCCUGGCCGUUAACCACCGAGAAUCCCUAAACCUUCUUAUCACUGAGAACUCGUCCUUGGAUUUCCCUGGUUAAAGCUGCAGAAUCCCUAUAUCAGCUGGUCCCAUGGGAAGGGCUUUUCCUGGAGCCUCGAUUGCCCCGCCAAGUGUUUACGUCCUGCUCUGACGCCUGUGUCGCCUCCUGUUUCUAGGGCUCCAGAAGAAACUGACCUAUCUAAAGUGCCCCUGGGGUAUCAGGAUGUGGCCCAGGUAUUCAGUAAAGACCAUGCCCUCACAUUACCACCCAUCGAUUGUUCCACUGACCUGUUUCCUGGAGCCACGCUGCCCAGUAGCCGAUUCUAUAACCUCUCAAAACUGGAACACACCACCAUGCAAGCCUACAUUUAGGAUUCCCUAGCUGCUGGAAUCAUUCACCCAUCCUCCUCCCCUGUUGUUGGGGUCGGAUUUUUCUUUGUCGCGACCCUAUAUUGACUUCCGUAGUUUCAUCAGCACUACCAUCAAAAACAAGUAUCCACUACCACUCGUCAGUUCUGCAUUCACUGCCCUCCAUGGUGGCACCAUCUUCUCUAAACUGGACCUCCGCAACACAUAUCACCUCAUCCACAUCUGAGACGCAGAUGAAUACUGACCUACAUUCAGUACCCCACUUCCCAUCUGGAGUAUCCAGUCACAAACGCCCCAGCUGGUUUUCCACAACCUCGUCAAUGACGUCCUCCGUGACAUUAUCAACCACUUUGUUUUUGUGUGCUUGGAUGACAUUUUGAUGUUCUCCUGGAACCCAGAAGAACAACAUGUCCGCCUAGAACACCUCCUUAAAGACUGGCUUUUCGAUAAGGCAAGUUUCAUGCCACUACAGUUUUCUUCCUUGGCUACAUUAUCUGAAGAGGAGGUUAAGAUGGAUCCCAGAAGCUGACCGCUGUCCAGAGCUGACCUGUACCUGAAAGAACUGCAUCUAUUCCUGGGGUUUGCCAACUUUUACCGCUGUUUUAUCCGGGAUUACAGUAAGGUGGCGGGUUUCAUAGUGUACCAUAGUGUGUAGUUGUAAGUCCUACUCCUGGUUUGCUCUCUCCUGUGUGGAGUUAUGGUUGUUGCUAGACACAACGUAGUGGUGUGUAAGCUUCUGCUUUCAGUUCGGUAUCCAGUGUAUUGCGCUGUGUGGCUGGUAUUACUCGGUUCUAGUUAAUUCCUUACUUCUGACUUCUGUGAACAACCCAGUGACAUUUUCCAUACACUCCUGUACAAUUUGUCAGUUGUAUCACACAACUUAUUGUACUAAAUUGUGAGAUUAUA